rnacentral:rRNA from 1 species
CAGUCGCCACGGUAAUACGAAGGGGGCUAGCGUUGUUCGGAAUUACUGGGCGUAAAGCGCACGUAGGCGGAUAUUUAAGUCAGGGGUGAAAUCCCAGAGCUCAACUCUGGAACUGCCUUUGAUACUGGGUAUCUUGAGUAUGGAAGAGGUGAGUGGAAUUCCGAGUGUUGAGGUGAAAUUCGUAGAUAUUCGGAGGAACACCAGUGGCGAAGGCGGCUCACGGGUCCAUUACUGACGCUGAGGUGCGAAAGCGUGGGGAGCAAACAAGAUUAGAUACCCCUGUAGUCCCUGUCUCUUAUAC